rnacentral:tRNA from 1 species
UCCCUGGUGACUCAAUAAUAAAGAACCUGUCUGCCAAGCAGGAGACUCAGGUUCAAUCCCUGGGUUGGGAA